rnacentral:rRNA from 1 species
CACGUAGGCGGAUAUUUAAGUCUGUUGUGAAAGCCCUGGGCUCAACCUGGGAACUGCAGUGGAAACUGGACGACUAGAGUGUGGUAGAGGGUAGCGGAAUUCCUGGUGUAGCAGUGAAAUGCGUAGAGAUCAGGAGGAACAUCCAUGGCGAAGGCAGCUACCUGGACCAACACUGACACUGAGGCACGAAAGCGUGGGGAGCAAACA